rnacentral:rRNA from 1 species
ACUCCUACGGGAGGCAGCAGUGGGGAAUAUUGCACAAUGGGGGAAACCCUGAUGCAGCCAUGCCGCGUGUGUGAAGAAGGCCUUCGGGUUGUAAAGCACUCUCAGUAGGGAGGAAGGUAGUGUAGUUAACACCUGCACUAUUUUGACGUUACCUACAGAAGAAGCACCGGCUAACUCCGUGCCAGCAGCCGCGGUAAUACGGAGGGUGCGAGCGUUAAUCGGAAUUACUGGGCGUAAAGCGUGCGCAGGCGGUCUGUUAAGCGAGAUGUGAAAGCCCCGGGCUCAACCUGGGAACUGCAUUUCGAACUGGCAGACUAGAGUCUUGUAGAGGGGGGUAGAAUUCCAGGUGUAGCGGUGAAAUGCGUAGAGAUCUGGAGGAAUACCGGUGGCGAAGGCGGCCCCCUGGACAAAGACUGACGCUCAGGCACGAAAGCGUGGGGAGCAAACAGGAUUAGAUACCCUGGUAGGAUAG